UGUGUGAUAGAAAACAGAGUGGAUAAGAUGGCCCCUGUGAUCUACUCAAUAGCUGGGAAUUUCAAGAUAGAAGAGAGGAGAUUAUAAAUAUAAUAUCUACAAAUUGUAACGAUAGCCAUUUCCUCAUCGAUUGUAUUGCAGUUGUGAACAAUGUGCAAUUUAACACAUAUACUCACAGUGAUACAGAGAAAAUUUACGGAAUACUCCUCCCCCGGAACUUACCAUGGACACUCCCAGGAAGACGGAAGCUUUGGAGGGAGUACUUUGGUCCUUGAUUUUCACAGUCUUCCACUUCUCCGCCCCCUUCAGCUCCUGGGGUAUCCCAUCAUUCACCUGCCUCUCAUCUUCUUCAAGUGGUUUGGGUACGUCUUCUGAGGACUUCCAGAUCAGUUCCGAGGGUUCUUUAUUGGAGGAUUCCUCGCUAGAUUGACGGCGCUGGACUUCUGUAAAGACAGCAGACAUGUGAUCUUUAAUACUGAACCAAAAUUAAAAAUGGGAAAUUUAUAUGAACUCUACCAAAAUCACAUUGCAACUGGAAAAAAAAAAACAACAACCAAUAACUAAAAACUGGUUUUGCUUAAUUGAGCACAUUUAACAUGAAUUGAACUGAAUUUUUCAUUUAAUAAAAAUUUCUAUGCUCUUA